AAGUCGUAACAAGGUUUCCGUAGGUGAACCUGCGGAAGGAUCAUUAACACGUAUCCUAACGUUUAACCACCCGUGCACCUUCAAACCCUAACCACCCUUUUGGGACACGGUUUGUUGCCUGCGCUAACUUCUUCCAACGUUGAAAAUUAUACGGUCCAACUGGGUGGGAGCCCUCGCAAUAGGCGUAGCAGAUAUCUUGGCUCUC
rnacentral:misc_RNA from 1 species